rnacentral:ncRNA from 1 species
AAAUUGAUUAUGAAAGGGACAGUAUCAAUUUUUAAUUGUUUUUAGCGAACCGGGGCUGGUGGAAGCCGGGAAACAUAAAAUUGAGAAGAUCACCCUGGAGUCGGUAUAUGAAUAGAUUAGUAUACCCGUAUUUCUGCGUUAAAGAUUGCUAAGAUAAGAUUAGUAAUUAAUAAGUUGAAUUAACAGCAGCUAUUUGAUUACUAAUUUUAAUUAGGGUGGUACCGCGGUCUCUCGUCCCUUAC